rnacentral:rRNA from 1 species
UGAGUACGAGAUGCUACGGCAUCGAAGCAGUCUAUGUCAUACUUCCAAGAAAAGCUUGCACUGUCAGAAACAGAUAAUGCCUGUACCAUAACCGACACAGGUGGGUAGGUAGAGUAUACUAAGGGGCGCGAGAUAACUCUCUCUAAGGAACUCGGCAAAAUGACUCCGUAACUUCGGGAGAAGGAGUGCCUUAUUUUUAAGGUUGCAAUAACAAGAUCCAAGCAACUGUUUACCAAAAACACAGGUCUCCGCUAAGUCGUAAGACGAUGUAUGGGGGCUGACGCCUGCCCAGUGCCAGAAGGUUAAAGAAGUCGGUUAGCAUUCGCGAAGCUGGUAACUGAAGCCCUGGUGAACGGCGGCCGUAACAAUAACGGUCCUAAGGUAGCGAAAUUCCUUGUCGGGUAAGUUCCGACCCGCACGAAAGGCGUAAUGAUUUGGAUACUGUCUCGGAGAGGGGCUCGGUGAAAUAGACUUGUCUGUGAAGAUGCGGACUACCUGCACCUGGACAGAAAGACCCUAUGAAGCUUUACUGUAACUUGAAAUUGAAAUUGGACUUUAUUUGCGCAGUAUAGGUGGGAGGCGUUGAAAAUAUUCUUGCGGGAAUAUUGGAGCCAUCAGUGAGAUACCACUCUUGUAAUGUUAGAUUUCUAACUUUAUAUCAUUAUCUGGUUAAAGAACAGUUUCAGGCGGGCAGUUUGACUGGGGCGGUCGCCUCCCAAAUGGUAACGGAGGCGCACAAUGGUUUCCUCUGAACGGGUAGAAAUCGUAUCUAGAGUGUAAAGGCAUAAGGAAGCUUGACUGUGAGACCUACAAGUCGAGCAGGGACGAAAGUCGGUCUUAGUGAUCUGACGGUGCUGAGUGGAAAGGCCGUCACUCAACGGAUAAAAGUUACUCUAAGGAUAACAGGCUGAUCUCCCCCAAGAGUUCACAUCGACGGGGAGGUUUGGCACCUCGAUGUCGGCUCAUCGCAUCCUGGGGCGGUAGUACGUCCCAAGGGUUGGGCUGUUCGCCCAUGAAAGCGGUACGCGAGCUGGGUUCAGAACGUCGUGAGACAGUUCGGUCCAUAUCCGGUGUAGGCGUAGAAUAUUGAGAGGAGCCUUCUUUAGUACGAGAGGACCGAGAAGGACAUACCUCUGGUGUACCAGUUAUCGUGCCAACGGUGAACGCUGGGUAGCUAUGUAUGGAGUGGAUAACCGCUGAAAGCAUCUAAGUGGGAAGCCCACCUCAAGAUAAG